GAUGAACGCUAGCUACAGGCUUAACACAUGCAAGUCGAGGGGAAACGACAUCGAAAGCUUGCUUUUGGUGGGCGUCGACCGGCGCACGGGUGAGUAACGCGUAUCCAACCUGCCCACCACUUGGGGAUAACCUUGCGAAAGUAAGACUAAUACCCAAUGAUAUCUCUAGACGACAUCUGAAAGGGAUUAAAGAUUUAUCGGUGAUGGAUGGGGAUGCGUCUGAUUAGCUUGUUGGCGGGGUAACGGCCCACCAAGGCAACGAUCAGUAGGGGUUCUGAGAGGAAGGUCCCCCACAUUGGAACUGAGACACGGUCCAAACUCCUACGGGAGGCAGCAGUGAGGAAUAUUGGUCAAUGGGCGAGAGCCUGAACCAGCCAAGUAGCGUGCAGGAUGACGGCCCUAUGGGUUGUAAACUGCUUUUAUAAGGGAAUAAGUGAGAGUCGUGACUCUUUUUGCAUGUACCUUAUGAAUAAGGACCGGCUAAUUCCGUG
rnacentral:rRNA from 1 species